CGCACAUUGCGCCCCCUGGUAUUCCGGAGGGCAUGCCUGUCCGAGCGUCAUUAUCCACCUCCAGCGUGCUGGGCGUUGGGCCGACCGUUUGGUCGCCCCGAAAAGCAGCGCGGCACCGUUCCGGGCGCAACGCAACGAGCUUCGGCACGCGUUGUACCUGUAGCGGCCCGCUUCCACUUAAAGGUUGACCUCGGAUCAGACAGGAUUACCCGCUGAACUUAA
rnacentral:misc_RNA from 1 species